rnacentral:rRNA from 1 species
GACGAACGCUGGCGGCGUGCCUAAUACAUGCAAGUUGAGCGCUGAAGGUUGGUACUUGUACCAACUGGAUGAGCAGCGAACGGGUGAGUAACGCGUGGGGAAUCUGCCUUUGAGCGGGGGACAACAUUUGGAAACGAAUGCUAAUACCGCAUAAAAACUUUAAACACAAGUUUUAAGUUUGAAAGAUGCAAUUGCAUCACUCAAAGAUGAUCCCGCGUUGUAUUAGCUAGUUGGUGAGGUAAAGGCUCACCAAGGCGAUGAUACAUAGCCGACCUGAGAGGGUGAUCGGCCACAUUGGGACUGAGACACGGCCCAAACUCCUACGGGAGGCAGCAGUAGGGAAUCUUCGGCAAUGGACGAAAGUCUGACCGAGCAACGCCGCGUGAGUGAAGAAGGUUUUCGGAUCGUAAAACUCUGUUGGUAGGGAAGAACGUUGGUGAGAGUGGAAAGCUCAUCAAGUGACGGUAACUACCCAGAAAGGGACGGCUGACUACGUG